GUUUCCUAUAGUUGCAGAUCAGAUAUGCACAACGGUCAGGAGUAAUUCUUGACCAUUCCUCUUUACAGAACUGUUUCAGUUCAGCAAUAUUCUUGGGAUGUCUGGUAUGAGUCGCUUUCUUGAGGUCAUGCCACAGCAUCUCAAUCGGAUUGAGGUCAGGACUCUGACUGGGCCACUUCAGAAGGCGUAUUUUCUUCUGUUUAAGCCAUUCUGUUGUUGAUUUACUUCUAUGCUUUGAGUCAUUGUCCUGUUGCAACACCCAUCUUCUGUUGAGCUUCAG